rnacentral:rRNA from 1 species
CCUACGGGUGUGCAGCAGUGGGGAAGAUUGCGCAAUGGGCGAAAGCCUGACGCAGCGAAGCCGCGUGAGGGAUGAAGGUCUGCGGAUCGUAAACCUCUGUCAGCAGGGAAGAACGGUCACUGUGCUAAUCAGCAGUGAAUUGACGGUACCUGCAAAGGAAGCACCGGCUAACUCCGUGCCAGCAGCCGCGGGAAUACGGAGGGGGCGAGCGGUAAUCGGAAUUACUGGGCGUAAAGCGAUCGGAGGCGGUAUGUCAAGUCAAGGGUGAAAUCCCCGCGCUCAACGUGGGAACUGCCUUUGAAACUGGCAACCUGGAGUGUGUGAGAGGAUAGUGGAAUUCCAGGUGUAGGCGU